GAUGAACGCUGGCGGCGUGCCUAACACAUGCAAGUCGAACGGAAAGGCCCUGCUUUUGUGGGGUGCUCGAGUGGCGAACGGGUGAGUAACACGCGAGUAACCUGCCCUUGACUUUGGGAUAACUUCAGGAAACUGGGGCUAAUAUCGGAUAGGAGCUCCUGCAGCAUGGUGGGGGUUGGAAAGUUUCGGCUGUUGGGGAUGGACUCGCGGCUUACCAGCUUGUUGGUGGGGUAGUGGCUUACCAAGGCUUUGACGGGUAGCCGGCCUGAGAGGGUGACCGGCCACAUUGGGACUGAGAUACGGACCAGACUCCUACGGGAGGCAGCAGGCGGGAAUAUUGCACAAUGGGUGGAAGCCUGAUGCAGCAACGCCGCGUGCGGGAUGACGGCCUUCGGGUUAUAAACCGCUUUCGCCUGUGACGAAGCGUGAGUGACGGUAAUGGGUAAAGAAGCACCGGCUAACUACGUG
rnacentral:rRNA from 1 species